rnacentral:sRNA from 1 species
GCUGGGCGCGGUGGCCCACACCUGUCAUCCUGGCUGCUCGGGAGGCUGAGGCAGGAGGAUCUUGGGUUCAAGGCCACCCUCAGCUACCUAGCAAGGCCCCAAGCCACUCAGUGAGACCCUGUCUCUA